GAUGAACGCUGGCGGCGUGCCUAAUACAUGCAAGUCGAGCGAACGGACGAGAAGCUUGCUUCUCUGAUGUUAGCGGCGGAAGGGUGAGUAACACGUGGAUAACCUACCUAUAAGACUGGGAUAACUUCGGGAAACCGGAGCUAAUACCGGAUAAUAUUUUGAACCGCAUGGUUCAAAAGUGAAAGACGGUCUUGCUGUCACUUAUAGAUGGAUCCGCGCUGCAUUAGCUAGUUGGUAAGGUAACGGCUUACCAAGGCAACGAUGCAUAGCCGACCUGAGAGGGUGAUCGGCCACACUGGAACUGAGACACGGUCCAGACUCCUACGGGAGGCAGCAGUAGGGAAUCUUCCGCAAUGGGCGAAAGCCUGACGGAGCAACGCCGCGUGAGUGAUGAAGGUCUUCGGAUCGUAAAACUCUGUUAUUAGGGAAGAACAUAUGUGUAAGUAACUGUGCACAUCUUGACGGUACCUAAUCGGAAAGCCACGGCUAACUACGUG
rnacentral:rRNA from 1 species